CUACGGGCGGCAGCAGUGAGGGAUUUUGCGCAAUGGGGGAUAGCCCUGACGCAGCAACGCCGCGUGAGUGAAGAAGGCCUUUGGGUCGUAAAGCUCUGUCAACUGGGAAGAAGUUAUGUAUAUUAAAUAGGUAUAUGUAUUGACGGUACCAGUGGAGGAAGCAUCGGCUAACUCCGUGCCAGCAGCCGCGGUAAUACGGGGGAUGCAAGCGUUAUUCGGAAUUAUUGGGCGUAAAGGGCGCGCAGGCGGUUUUGUCGGUCAGAUGUGAAGGCCCGGGGCUCAACCCUGGAAGUGCAUUUGAAACAGCAAGACUUGAGUACGGGAGAGGAAAGCGGAAUUCCUGGUGUAGAGGUGAAAUUCGUAGAUAUCAGGAGGAAUACCGAUGGCGAAGGCAGCUUUCUGGACCGAUACUGACGCUGAGGCGCGAAGGCGUGGGUAGCGAACGGGAUUAGAUACCCGCGUAGUC
rnacentral:rRNA from 1 species